GGAUCCAGACUUUGAUCAUGGCUCAUGAUGAACGCUGGCGGCGUGCUUAACACAUGCAAGUCGAACGGACUUUACAUGAAACCUAGUGAUUGUAAAGUUAGUGGCGGACGGGUGAGUAACGCGUGAAUAACCUGCCUUGUACUGGGGGACAACAGUUGGAAACGGCUGCUAAUACCGCAUAAGCGCACGGUUCUGCAUGGAACAGUGUGAAAAACUGAGGUGGUACAAGAUGGAUUCGCGUCUGAUUAGCCAGUUGGCGGGGUAACGGCCCACCAAAGCAACGAUCAGUAGCCGGCCUGAGAGGGUGAACGGCCACAUUGGGACUGAGACACGGCCCAAACUCCUACGGGAGGCAGCAGUGGGGAAUAUUGCACAAUGGGGGAAACCCUGAUGCACCGACGCCGCGUGAGUGAAGAAGUUAUUCGUAACGUAAAGCUCUAUCAGCAGGAAAGAUCAUGACGGUACCUGACUAAGAAGCCCCGGCUAACUACGUGCCAGCAGCCGCGGUAAUACGUAGGGGGCAAGCGUUAUCCGGAUUUACUGGGUGUAAAGGGAGCGUAGACGGCAGAGCAAGUGUGAUGUGAAAGCCCGGGGCCCAACCCCGGAACUGCAUUGGAAACUGUUCAGCUCGAGUGCAGGAGAGGUAAGCGGAAUUCCUAGUGUAGCGGUGAAAUGCGUAGAUAUUAGGAGGAACACCAGUGGCGAAGGCGGCUUACUGGACUGUAACUGACGUUGUGGCUCGAAAGCGUGGGGAGCAAACAGGAUUAGAUACCCUGGUAGUCCACGCCGUAAACGAUGAUUAUUAGGUGUCGGGGGACCAAGGUCCUUCGGUGCCGCCGCAAACGCAAUAAGUAAUCCACCUGGGGAGUACGUUCGCAAGAAUCCAACAAAAGGGAAUAGACGG
rnacentral:rRNA from 1 species